rnacentral:snoRNA from 1 species
AAUCCAUGGUGAGGACAUCUUCUCAUCAAAUCUUUUUACCUCUCUCAAGCCUCAUAUAGUGAUUUAGAAUCAAAUUGCUUGAAAGAAAUGAUAUCAUUCUGCAUCU